rnacentral:lncRNA from 1 species
GACCGGCUCUGGGCAUGCCCUGUGCUCACCUGGCAGGUGAUGGCGUGGGCAGGAAGUGCACAGCCUGCCUUUACCUUACGUGAACACUGUGUCUGGGCAAUGGGCUAAGAACUGAAGAGGACAAGCUAGAAAAGGGCUCCUUGCUGCCUCUAUAAACCACGUGUGUGUACAUCUUAGCGAGCCCACAGACAAAAAAGGCAAAGAAGCAGAGACCAAGAGGGAGCGCCUAAGAGGCACAGAAAAAGAGAGCCACAGAGACAGAGAGAUGGAGAGACAGACAGACGGAGGAGAGCCAAGGCACAGGGGAAGGGGCAGGCAGAGGCAAGCACUUCCUGGUGAACUGGGUCCCCUGUGUGAUUGGCUGCUCCUAGAGAACAGUUUCCGUGGCUGCAGUUGCUGUGCAACUGUUUCCUGCAAUUAACUGACUUUAUUGACUUCGUCUGUUUCUCCCCCUCCCUUAACCUCUUGUUUGCCAAGCCAUCUAAGGAGCCAUAUCUUCGACUGGAAGGGGUAGUUUCAAUUAGCACACUGUACAUCUUGUCAACCCACCUCCACUUGAAGCUGUGAUAAUAGAUGGUCAUUUCCAGAGCAUUGUAUGGGCCUAUGCACACAUACACAAGUAACCAAGACUUGACAUACCUAGCCCGUCUCUGCAAUGAGAAACGAAAAGGGAGAAAGUGCAGGGAAGACACAGCUUUAGGUAGGACUGAGCAUACUGGCUCUUGGGGAGGCUGAAUCACUUGCCCCAAACACAGAACAACAUGAACUGAGGUGGGAUUCAGAUACAAGUCUGUCAGACUCUAGAGCCCAAGUUCUCAUCCAUCAAGCUGAUGUCCACCUUCUUGGGCCAGAGGACUGGAUCGAACCAGCUCACCUGCUCCACAUUGCUCAUUUCUCUCAGCAAAUCCAAGGACUCAGAAGGAACCCUUCACCAACUGCCCAUUCCCACAUGCCGACCCGCAGAGCUAACUCCAAGCUUGCACCACCCACCUUCUGUCACCACCGUCCCUUUUCUUGUCUCAAAAGUCAUCAUGAAAAUGCAAAUGUUGCCACAAUUUGUUGAAAAAAUAACAAAAUUACAGUAUGUGAAAG